rnacentral:rRNA from 1 species
UACGUAGGGUGCAAGCGUUGUCCGGAAUUAUUGGGCGUAAAGAGCUCGUAGGCGGUCUGUUGCGUCGGCUGUGAAAACCCGAGGCUCAACCUCGGGCCUGCAGCCGAUACGGGCAGACUAGAGUUCGGCAGGGGAGACUGGAAUUCCUGGUGUAGCGGUGAAAUGCGCAGAUAUCAGGAGGAACACCAAUAGCGAAGGCAGCUCGCUGGGACGUUACUGACACUGAGGCGCGAAAGCGUGGGGAGCGAACAGG